rnacentral:lncRNA from 1 species
CACGGCCCGCCCCGCCCCGCCGCGGGGCGCCGCGGGAGAUGCAGUCCGGCCGCUCCGGCACCGGGAGAAGCCCUCGGGGCGCGGCCGGGCACCGGGAGACGCGGGAUAGGCGGUCUCGGCCCGCAGCAGCCGCCUCAAGAGCCACGGCCCCGGUCGAGCGGCCCCGUCACGGCAUCCGCGGUCCGGCCGCGCCCGCUCCGUUCCGCUCCGAACCGAACUCCUCGGCCGCGCCAACGUUGUGAGGGAUCCGCUGUUUUAGCGAGAAUCCCUCCCUUGAAAAUCCCCCCCCCCGCAUCCGCGCCCUGCUUUCGGAGAGGCUCGCGUGGCUCGGCGAGGAAGGCGGGGUGUUUUGUGAAGUGACAAGGUGGAAAGUGCUCACCCCUCGCUUCACCUUUGGAAGGUACAUGAAUGAGGCUUGCAGGACAACAUCAUGUUCUCAGGACAGCAGGAGCUGUGUCAGCUUCCUCUGGGUGCUCCUCGUACUCUUUGGCCUCUGCUUGCCAGCAUCCCUGUGUUCCACUGCUGGCCAUUCCUGAGCUGAAAGGAUUCCUCACUUCAGAAUGUGAAAUGAAUUUGCAUUCAUGUUUCUGUCGGCUUGACAAGCCAGCUCUCAGGAGCAGGAUCACUCAGUCUCUCAUCCUCCUUCCUCUUGCUGACAAUUAG